ACAACUACACCAUCAGCUCUACAGAGACACAGCAGGUUGGUCCAGGAGCCAACGCAGAAAUGUGCUAGUGAGAGAGAACUGAGGAAACGGAUGAAGAAAAUGACCAGAGACAUGUCCUCAGAGAUCCUCACUAUGCUGAAGGACUUCCAUCUUCAGAACCACGCCCCAAACAAGCCCAGCAAAAACCACAGAAGCGUCAUUUAUAAUUUACCAUCCACAGGAAGCAGCUGCUGACAGAGUUGACAUAAACAAGAACACACAUUCACAGAUACACACCCAAGCCUGAGAAAGCACUGGCGAGUCACUAGGUCUCUGCCUGACCCCCAGUUUCCUGGGCCUGGCCUCAGAAGAGAAACUGCCGCUAAAGACGCUUACCAGCCUCAUGGCCAGACCACCAGACCAGAAGGGGCCGGAAGAGGCGGCCCUCCUGCCCUGAAUCCUUCCACCCCAGAAAGAACAUGAAACGCCUCCCGUUUCCCUGCCUGCCUGUUGCACCUUCCGAAUCUGGGACUCCUGAUCUGUAAGCAAAGCUUGGCCAUCCCCUGGCCACUGGAGGAAAGUUUCUUUCUUCAUGUCUCCAGAAGAAGAAGGAAAAAAAAAAAAAUCACAGUUCUCACCUCAAAGAGAGUAAGAGACAGUCUGUUCUAGAGCUGAAUUUGAGUGGCUGAGGCUUGAGAAACAUGGAGCUAGUUUACCUCAGAUUCCACGUUCCCAGUGGAAGCAGAUUCAUGACAUUAGUAGUAAGAGGACGAAGAAGUCAAAUUGAGGCAAUUAAAAAAUAUAUGGAUGGGGUUUAAAAAAAA